AUUGAACGCUGGCGGAAUGCUUUACACAUGCAAGUCGAACGGCAGCACGGACUUCGGUCUGGUGGCGAGUGGCGAACGGGUGAGUAAUGAAUCGGAACGUGCCCAGUCGUGGGGGAUAACGUAGUGAAAAUUACGCUAAUACCGCAUACGAUCUAUGGAUGAAAGCGGGGGAUAGCAAGACCUCGCGCGAUUGGAGCGGCCGAUAUCAGAUUAGGUAGUUGGUGGGGUAAAGGCCCACCAAGCCAACGAUCCGUAGCUGGUCUGAGAGGACGACCAGCAACACUGGAACUGAGACACGGUCCAGACUCCUACGGGAGUCAGCAGUGGGGAAUUUUGGACAAUGGGCGAAGGCCUGAUCCAGCCAUUCCGCGUGCAGGAUGAAGGCCCUCGGGUUGUAAACUGCUUUUGUACAGAACGAAAAGGUUUCUACUAAUACUAGGAGCUCAUGACGGUACUGUAAGAAUAAGCACCGGCUAACUACGUGCCAGCCGCCGCCGUAA
rnacentral:rRNA from 1 species